rnacentral:lncRNA from 1 species
AAAGCUUUUUUUGAAGUAUGUGAUUUGUUCUGGUGUUUUUAAAAUGCGUGUUUUCCCCAGCACAGAGGAUUCAUUUAAAAAGAAAAAUAUAAGCUAUAGAAAAGGAAAGGAAAAAAGAUCCAUCUCAUGCUCUCACACAAGCAGACUGACUGCAAAAGGAGGGGUCAUCUCCACAGACUUACAGAAUCCAGGCAAACUUCUGCCAGAGUCACCUGGAGAAGGAGGGAGAAAAUGACUUGACUGGUGGUCUACAAGAUGCAGUGGAAUGAGGAGCCAGUCCCACCAGGAGGACAGUGCCAAAUCUGGCAGUGAGAUCACACAGAUUCAGCUCGCGUUCGAAGUGAACUGGAAAGAAUGUCUCAAAGUACCUGCUUUGAAGUAUCUCAUCGUACAGAAACCCAAGAACCGAAGAGACAGUGAGCACAAACUGACUGAGGAACAAGAGGGUCAAGAUAUUGAUUGCAGAAAUUGAUGAAAACUUCCUUAGGUGACAUGACUUGGCUUCGGUUAUUUUCCUGUAAUCAUCAUCUUAGAAUUCGUGUCAAACUCAAAAGACCAAAAAAAUGGGGACUGUUUAGAGUAUGCAAUGAAACCUAAAUUCAUCACUGAUGGUAAAACAACUC